rnacentral:rRNA from 1 species
AGUGAACGCUGGCGGUAGGCCUAACACAUGCAAGUCGAACGGCAGCACAGUAAGAGCUUGCUCUUACGGGUGGCGAGUGGCGGACGGGUGAGGAAUACAUCGGAAUCUACUUUUUCGUGGGGGAUAACGUAGGGAAACUUACGCUAAUACCGCAUACGACCUACGGGUGAAAGCAGGGGAUCUUCGGACCUUGCGCGAUUGAAUGAGCCGAUGUCGGAUUAGCUAGUUGGCGGGGUAAAGGCCCACCAAGGCGACGAUCCGUAGCUGGUCUGAGAGGAUGGUCGGCGACACUGGAACUGAGACACGGUCAAGACUCCUACGAGAGGCAGCAGUGGGGAAUAUUGGACAAUGGGCGCAAGCCUGAUACAGCCAUACCGCGUGGGUGAAGAAGGCCUUCGGGUUGUAAAGCCCUUUUGUUGGGAAAGAAAAGCAGCAGGUUAAUACCACGCUGUUCUGACGGUACCCAAAGAAUAAGCACCGGCUAACUUCGUG